GCCGCCACCCCGCACCCCGCCCGCCACGCCCUCGAGCCGUGCUGCCACCAAGCAGCGGCCACACCUGUGAUUGGAUUACGCGCCUUCGCCAGUGUGACCAGUGUGACUGUGACACGAGACAGCGUGUGACAAGUGUGACGCUGUUUGUUGGUGCGCAUGGCUCGGACUGACGGCGGAGGCCGCAGCGGCCGCCAGCCCCUUGGCCAGCCCCGCUUGGGGCGCUAGUGCUCGCUAGUGCACGCUAGUGCAGCCAGUGCGAUACAGUGCAGUGAUUGUGUGCCUUUGGAUACCUCGCCACCCCUGCACCGCCGCCCUCUGGAUUACUACUGCAAGGAUACUGCAAGGAUACUCCCCCCCUCUUGACGGUCACACCUUCCUCCAGUUUGAGCGAUGGGGUCGCUCGAGCGCCAACACCCCGCCUGACGGCCUGCCCGAAGGCCUGACGCUCCUCAUGGCGUCCUCGUGGGCUGAGCGGCCCUGUCCCCUAUCACCACAAGCACCACACACACAGUGACCAUGGGUGGGUUUAACCCCUUCCCCUUGCGGAGAGCAUUGGGUCCUUCGUCGUACCUCCUCCAACGGUGGCUACCUCAACCAGGUGGUUCCCCGCUGGUCCCAGCGAUGCAGCCUGCGCAGCCUGCGCCCUGCUCCCUCUGGCGCGGCGAGCCGUGUGCGCCUAGCCUCGGAUGACGGCGUCCGGCCACGCUCUAGGCCUUGAUGGACUGCAGUGAGACCGCCGUGCUGAUAGGCAACCGCUGCGGGCUGUGGAGCGGCCUGCCCGCACUGCCCCGCAC